ensembl:snRNA U6 U6 spliceosomal RNA
GUGCGCACUUUGGCAGCACAUAUACUAAAAUUGGAAUGUUAGAGAUUAGCAUGACCCCUGUGCAGGGAUGGCACGCAAAUUCAUGAAGUGUUCCAUAUUUUA